CCUACGGGGGGCUGCAGUGGGGAAUAUUGGACAAUGGGGGGAACCCUGAUCCAGCCAUGCCGCGUGUGUGAAGAAGGCCCUCGGGUUGUAAAGCACUUUCAGUGAGGAAGAACGCCUGGUGGUUAAUACCCAUCAGGAAAGACAUCACUCACAGAAGAAGCACCGGCUAACUCCGUGCCAGCAGCCGCGGUAAUACGGAGGGUGCGAGCGUUAAUCGGAAUUACUGGGCGUAAAGCGCGCGUAGGUGGCUUGAUAAGCCGGUUGUGAAAGCCCCGGGCUCAACCUGGGAACGGCAUCCGGAACUGUCAAGCUAGAGUGCAGGAGAGGAAGGUAGAAUUCCCGGUGUAGCGGUGAAAUGCGUAGAGAUCGGGAGGAAUACCAGUGGCGAAGGCGGCCUUCUGGACUGACACUGCCACUGAGGUGCGAAAGCGUGGGUAGCAAACAGGAUUAGAUACCCCUGUAGUC
rnacentral:rRNA from 1 species